rnacentral:rRNA from 1 species
GAUGAACGCUGGCGGCGUGCCUAAUACAUGCAAGUCGAGCGAACAGACGAGGAGCUUGCUCCUCUGACGUUAGCGGCGGACGGGUGAGUAACACGUGGAUAACCUACCUAUAAGACUGGGAUAACUUCGGGAAACCGGAGCUAAUACCGGAUAAUAUAUUGAACCGCAUGGUUCAAUAGUGAAAGACGGUUUUGCUGUCACUUAUAGAUGGAUCCGCGCCGCAUUAGCUAGUUGGUAAGGUAACGGCUUACCAAGGCAACGAUGCGUAGCCGACCUGAGAGGGUGAUCGGCCACACUGGAACUGAGACACGGUCCAGACUCCUACGGGAGGCAGCAGUAGGGAAUCUUCCGCAGUGGGCGAAAGCAUGACGGAGCAACGCCGCGUGAGUGAUGAAGGUCUUCGGAUCGUAAAACUCUGUUAUUAGGGAAGAACAAAUGUGUAAGUAACUAUGCACGUCUUGACGGUACCUAAUCAGAAAGCCACGGCUAACUACGUG